UGCAGUCGACGGUAACAGGCCUUCGGGCGCUGACGAGUGGCGGACGGGUGAGUAACGCGUAGGAAUCUGCCUGUCAGUGGGGGACAACGUGGGGAAACCCACGCUAAUACCGCAUACGCCCUACGGGGGAAAGGAGGGGAUCUUCGGACCUUUCGCUAACAGAUGAGCCUGCGUUAGAUUAGCUAGUUGGUAGGGUAAAGGCCUACCAAGGCGACGAUCUAUAGCUGGUCUGAGAGGACGAUCAGCCACACUGGGACUGAGACACGGCCCAGACUCCUACGGGAGGCAGCAGUGGGGAAUAUUGGACAAUGGGCGAAAGCCUGAUCCAGCAAUACCGCGUGUGUGAAGAAGGCCUUAGGGUUGUAAAGCACUUUCAAUUGGGAGGAAAACCUAUCGAUCAAUACCCGAUAGCUUGACAUUACCUUUAGAAGAAGCACCGGCUAACUCCGUGCCAGCAGCCGCGGUAAUACGGAGGGUGCGAGCGUUAAUCGGAAUUACUGGGCGUAAAGCGUGCGUAGGCGGUUCGUUAAGUCAGAUGUGAAAGCCCUGGGCUCAACCUGGGAACUGCAUUUGAAACUGGCGGACUAGAGUUUAGUAGAGGGGAGUGGAAUUUCAGGUGUAGCGGUGAAAUGCGUAGAUAUCUGAAGGAACACCAGUGGCGAAGGCGACUCCCUGGACUAGAACUGACGCUGAGGUACGAAAGCGUGGGUAGCAAACAGGAUUAGAUACCCUGGUAGUCCA
rnacentral:rRNA from 1 species